CAUACUGAUAAUUAGAACAUCUCAGAUGUUUGAAUGUUCUGUUAAAUGUGUGUGUUCAGGUUCUGGACAGUGACCGGUUGGUGUUGCAGAAGAUGAAGAAAGCAGCUAAAGCCAAAUACACAUCAGGACAAGUCCCUACACCACUCAAACUUACAGCUCUCACCCCCAUCCUCAGGAAACCUGGUCUCAACCCAGACAUCAUGUCCACCUUCCAACCUAUCUCCAAUCUUCCCUUCCUAUCAAACAUUCUGUGACGUGUUGUCGCUGCUCAAAUCAAGACCCACCUUACCUUUAAGAACCAGUUUGAACCAUUACAACCUGGAUUCCACAGACUCCCACCAGCCACAACACACCACUUGAACAGCCCUCCUGAAAGUCACGAAUGACCUCCUCCUCUCUUAUCAUUCUGGCCCACUCACCAUCCUCAUCAUGCUUGACACAUUUAGAUCACUCAUUAAUAGCUUCCUCUUUAGAUUAGCCUUCACCUUCGAAUAAUAUUAAAAAUCACCUGUUGUUA